rnacentral:rRNA from 1 species
UACGUAGGGGGCGAGCGUUGUCCGGAAUCAUUGGGCGUAAAGCGCGUGUAGGCGGCCCAGUAAGUCGAAUGUGAAAUCCCGGGGCUCAACCUCGGAACUGCAUUCGAUACUGCAGGGCUUGAGGAAGGUAGAGGAGAGUGGAAUUCCCAGUGUAGCGGUGGAAUGCGCAGAUAUUGGGAGGAACACCAGCGGCGAAGGCGGCUCUCUGGGCCUUUCCUGACGCUGAGACGCGAAAGCAUGGGGAGCGAACAGG